rnacentral:rRNA from 1 species
GAUGAACGCUGGCGGCGUGCUUAACACAUGCAAGUCGAACGGAAAGGCCCAAGCUUGCUUGGGUUCUCGAGUGGCGAACGGGUGAGUAACACGUGGGUGAUCUGCUCCGCACUUCGGGAUAAGCCUGGGAAACUGGGUCUAAUACCGGAUAGGACAGUGGUUUGGAUGCCAUUUUGGAAAGUUUUUUCGCUGUGGGAUUAGCUCGCGGCCUAUCCGCUUGUUUGUGGGGUAAUGGCCUACCAAGGCGUCGACGGGUAGCCGGCCUGAGAGAGUGUACGGCCGCAUUGGGACUGAGAGACGGCCCAGACGGCUAAGGGAGGAAGAAGUGGGGAAGAUUGCACAAGGGGCGCAAGCCUGAUGCAGCGACGCCGCGGGGGGGAUGACGGCCUUCGGGUUGUAAAAUCCUUUCGGUAGAGACGAAGCGUUAUGUGACGGUACCUAGAGAAGAAGCACCGGCUAACUACGUG